AGGUCAAGCUACAAAGGGCGCAUGGUGAAUGCCUUGGCACUAGGAGCCGAAGAAGGACGUGAUAAGCUGCGAUAAGCCUUGGGUAGUCGCAAAUAGGCAGAGAUCCAGGGAUUUCCGAAUGAGGGAACUCACAUGGGUAACCCCAUGUAUCAUGCACUGAAUACAU
rnacentral:rRNA from 1 species